UCAAUCCUACGGGAGGCAGCAGUGGGGAAUAUUGCACAAUGGGGGAAACCCUGAUGCAGCGACGCCGCGUGAGCGAAGAAGUAUUUCGGUAUGUAAAGCUCUAUCGGCAGGGAAGAAAAAAAUGACAGUACCUGACUAAGAAGCCCCGGCUAACUACGUGCCAGCAGCCGCGGUAAUACGUAGGGGGCAAGCGUUAUCCGGAUUUACUGGGUGUAAAGGGAGCGUGGGCGGCCACGCAAGUCAGAAGUGAAAACCCGGGGCUCAACCCUGGGAGUGCUUUUGAAACUG
rnacentral:rRNA from 1 species